rnacentral:rRNA from 1 species
UGGGGAAUAUUGGACAAUGGGCGAAAGCCUGAUCCAGCCAUGCCGCGUGUGUGAAGAAGGUCUUCGGAUUGUAAAGCACUUUAAGUUGGGAGGAAGGGCAUUAACCUAAUACGUUAGUGUUUUGACGUUACCGACAGAAUAAGCACCGGCUAACUCUGUGCCAGCAGCCGCGGUAAUACAGAGGGUGCAAGCGUUAAUCGGAAUUACUGGGCGUAAAGCGCGCGUAGGUGGUUUGUUAAGUUGGAUGUGAAAUCCCCGGGCGCAACCUGGGAACUGCAUUCAAAACUGAAUGACUAGAGUAUGGUAGAGGGUGGUGGAAUUUCCUGUGUAGCGGUGAAAUGCGUAGAUAUAGGAAGGAACACCAGUGGCGAAGGCGACCACCUGGACUAAUACUGACACUGAGGUGCGAAAGCGUGGGGAGCAAACA